GACGAACGCUGGCGGCGUGCUUAACACAUGCAAGUCGAACGGAAAGGCCCUGCUUUUGUGGGGUGCUCGAGUGGCGAACGGGUGAGUAACACGUGAGUAACCUGCCCUUGACUUUGGGAUAACUUCAGGAAACUGGGGCUAAUACCGGAUAGGAGCUCCUGCUGCAUGGUGGGGGUUGGAAAGUUUCGGCGGUUGGGGAUGGACUCGCGGCUUAUCAGCUUGUUGGUGGGGUAGUGGCUUACCAAGGCAUUGACGGGUAGCCGGCCUGAGAGGGUGACCGGCCACAUUGGGACUGAGAUACGGCGCAGACGCCUACGGGAGGCAGCAGUGGGGAAUAUGGCACAAUGGGCGGAAGCCUGAGGCAGAAACGCCGCGUGCGGGAUGACGGCCUUCGGGUUGUAAACCGCUUUCGCCUGUGACGAAGCGUGAGUGACGGUAAUGGGUAAAGAAGCACCGGCUAACUACGUG
rnacentral:rRNA from 1 species